UUGAAAAUUCACAAAAAAAUUAAAAAUAUGGAAUAAGAUAAUUUAAGAUACACUACGUUAUAUUAGAAAAAUGAAAUAAAUCUUUACUUAAGCUCGAUUUCUUUGCUCAUAUUCAGAAAUAUUUGAUUUUGGACAAACAUCCGCAGUUUAUUCAUUAAAUACAAAAGUAUUAUUUCUUUAUAAACAUUAUGUCACCACCGAUGCACCAGUUUCAAACUUCGAUAUCGAAACCGCAUCGAGGCCACAAAAACAUUGAUCUCUAAAAAAAGCGAAGCACGCGUCUCGGCGUUAAAAAUAAUCUUUGUUUGUCUCGUUCGCAGAUUAAAUUCGCAAAACCUAGACGAUCAAGUGUAUAUAAAAAAAAAAAAUUAAAAAAUUAAUUAUAUAAUAAUCGCAUGGUUACACAACUCCUUAUUAUACUGCUCGAUAAUUUUAAUGCGCCAAUCGGAUUGAGGCACAUCGACAGCUGAUUCGGUAAUUGACAUAGGUGAAAGAGACGUCUGCGGCAAUUUAUUCGAAAAGAGGAGUCAACGAUUCCCUUAACCCCGAUCACAAAUUGGGCAAAUGGAUAUCAACCAAUUUAUACGAUGAUCGAACGAAUAACCAAAGUUCACAAUUUGUUCUUUCGUUUCUAAUUACAGAUUCGACCUGUGCCCGCAUUAUAUUUAUUAUUAGGCGACGAGAGACGCGCGAGCAUACGACUUCGAUUACGCGAACGUUAAACCGAGGAGGUUGAACGACUCGAUUCGAAUAAAUGUAAUUAAGGAUCGUGUCGACCGGUUUCGAUUUUAAUUUUUUAUUUGACGAACGCCAGUUGAACGGACGCCGGAUUCUCUAGGAUUCCAUCGCGAGAAAUCUCGUCGCGAAGAAACGGAAACGAGAUUAUUACGCGGGAACGUUUAACGCAAGAAUAUCUAUUGAUCCGAUCUGAUGAGUAUCUUUCAGACUAUAUAUUCCGACAAAAGAACGAAAAGAUACAUCGUCAUACGAUGUAACACGUUUAUCGAUAUUGUUAACAAAAGCUGCUUAUUACGCGUAAAACGAUAUUGCGUGCAUUCCAAAAUGACAUAGACAUCAGUGUCAAAGUGAUGGAUGUAGGAAAGGCAAAAUGAAAAAAACAAGAAAAAAAAAAAAAAAAAGAAGAAAGAAAAAAAAGAAAAUAAUUGAGAUGCGACAUUUUAAUCUGCGCAUAUUUCGACGGCAAGGUGUCAACGAUGUUAUUAACCCUGAUCCCUGAGAGAAUGUAAUAGGCUCGAAAUAAAUAACGAUGAGAUCAUAAAA